rnacentral:lncRNA from 1 species
AGAAUUUAAACUUAAUAUCAUAUUUGUAUGAAAAUCAUGAUGAAUAUUUACAUUCUCUCAAACAGUUUUUAAUUUACUUAGCUAAUAAAGAAGAUGAUGGAUUCCCAAACAGAAAUCUUGAUGACUGAUCAAGGUGAAAAAAUUGAAGAAUUGCAUCAAUUGUACAGAGAAUCGAUUUGCAAGCAGAAACAGGUGCUCAAAGAUAAGGGAAUACAACAGCCAUCCAUGUUCCUUCACACAUAUAAAGGUAUAUAUAUCGUAUAUAAAUAUUGUCUACAUUUUCUGAAUUUAUGAUUUUUAAAAAUCUUUCAAAGAUAAAUGUACAUUGUAAGUCAUGUAAUUCAAAUAUAGAGACGUGCAAUUGUCUUUGAUAAAAGAUAGAGUUACAUGUAUUCCAUUUUAGUGUUAUCAGCUUAUAUACUUGCUUAGCCUUGUUAAAAUCUAUACAUAUACCUUAAAAUAUGUACAUGUAUAAUGAAAUGUGUGUCAGAAUAUAUACAUAUACAUGUAAUCAUAAUGUUUCAAAUAGCCAAACAUUGUAAAAUCUAUAUGUAUUAAGUAUUGGGAAUUCUGUACACCCUUUCCUUUGCUUAGACCAGGUUUAACAAAUAUAAUGUGCAAUGUUCAUUAUAAAUACUAGACUUGCUUGAAAAUAUUUAAAUUCAACUAAUUAUCUCCUCGCAAUACACAUUUAGUUUAGGAACUUUUUAUGUUUUAUGUUGAAGUAAGCAGCUGUUAGCGAUGCUUAUAGGCAUAAACUAUCUAGUCUGGUUCUAUUUUUAAGUAAGCUAUCUAGUGAUUACAUCAAUUCGACAAGACUAGACCGAGUCUUGGGAUAAAUUAAUAGUACUCAUUGUCAUGAUUGUACUAGCUUUUUAUUGUCUUAUAUAUUUUAUGGAAAAUACUGUUAGUUGAGGCCUGGAAAAAUAAAUUUAUAAGGAGAUGAAGUGUGGUUGCCAAUUAGAGUAGAGACAUGUAACAAAUAGCAUGAUUAGAGUCAUGGGGGAUUGAAUUCAUACUCAUUUUACUAAAGUGUCACAAAAUAAUUGCACGAAAAAAAACCAACAACAAAACAUCAAAAUAAUUAUGUAUUUAGUAGAAUUAGCCAAAUCAAACAAUGACUGACUUAAAUUUUGUUUGAAAUUUUUCACAUUUCUAUUGAUUAAAUAUUAUUUUGUACAUGAAAUAAUAAAUAGAUAUAAGGUUAAGUUAAAAGGGCAGUAAUCAAGUUUCAGAUUUUUUGUUGUCGUGCUGAUUGUACUAUUACAAAUACUUCUUAUAUGUCAAAAGAAAACAAAAUUGCUGUACCUAAUAUUGUGAUUUGUAUUGAAAUUGAUCAAGACAACAAACUCAAUAAUGAGCUAUUCCAAUAACAAUCUCCCUAGGGGAAAAAGGGGGUGUUACGUAAUUUUAGACCUCCAUUGUGGCCCAUAGACAUAUCAAACACUCACCAAAAUAUAAGCCUGAACCCCAGAGGAGAUCACACAUCAAAUGAUAAAAGUUGUAUAUAUUCUACACAGUAAGACCAAACAAUUAUAGUAGGAGUUAGUUUUAAAAUAUAAUUGAAAAACUAAACUGCUACAAAUAAAUAAUUUUUUUAAUGUUGAAUAAAUCACAAUGUGUAAUAGUUGUAAUAAAUUGUAAUGCCAGCCUGCAAUAGUAGAGGGGAUUUAUGAUUAAUGAUCCAUGCUUUUUUUUUUGUUCAUCCUUUCAUCUGUUCUGCUUCAGGUUCAAAAAGUGAAAUCACAAAAAUACUGAACUUAGAGGAAAAUCAAUUCGGAAAGUCCAUAAUCACAUGGCAAAAUCUUAUAACAAUACGCAUACAAAACGAAUGGUCAAGAACUGUCAUAUUCCUGACUUGGUACAGGAUUUUCAAAUGUAGAAAAUGUGUAUUAAACCUGGUUUUUUAUUGCGCUAACCUCUCACUUUAAUGACAUCUCAUCAAUUCGUUAUAUAUUUACAUGAGCGUUAACUAAACAGACGCACUGAAAAUAGUCAUCAUCAGUCAUCGUAUAACAAUUUUAAAGGAAAUUAUUUAACAGAACACAAAGACAUCUAUCUACAAACACAUUCAUUGAUUUGUGUGUCUGACGUCAGAAAAGUUAAUACGUCACAUAGAUUUGUCGUUCAAUGUGCAUACCAACAAUUUUAAAAUUUACAUAGGCAAUGUUAGCAAUACAGGGUUAAAAAAUCAAAAGUAUGUAAGAAUAAAUUUCAGAAAUAGACCGAGAUUUAAAAUAGUCCAAAAGUUAUAUAUAGAAUUUAUAAGAAUCCUCAAAUAGUUAAUUCCACUACGCGAUUGAAUGAUUUUGACGUUUAUGGUUCAACGUAAUUUGUAAUUCAUAAUAUACCAAGUUUUGGUAAAGUUUUUGUUCAGGAUAGUUGUUAAUGACCAAUCAACUUAAAAAUAGAUACACAUGUGCCUUAUGUUAUGAUCUUUCUAAUGAUGAAUUAAUGGUUUUGACCCCAAUUUCAUGGUGACAGGUCCUUUGAAAAUAGAAAAUUUAUCACAACUUCUAGCUAUUCUUUUAAUAGAGUUUUUCCACAAGAUAUUUUUGAGUCACUCAUUAGAAUAUUUUUUAAAUAUAUCAUUUGAUUACAACUGCAUGAAGAUAUAAUAAUUGCAUGCAGAAAAUUAUAGCUUUUUGUCACAUAGAUAUUACUAGUCAAUUUAAUAAAAUUAAAAAAAAAAUUUAUUACUGUAUUACAGAAGCUACAAAAUAGAGCUAAGGUCCUUUAAGCCAAGAAACUGCCAGUGUCAGAAGAGGAAAAACUAAGGAAGGCCAUACAAAUUGAUUUAAUGUCAAGUUGGGGACAUUGAUUCUGUAGAUAAACUCGCCUGAUCACAAGGUCCGAGUACUCAGUUAUCGUCCCUUGAUUUUCGUUGUCCACGAAUAUAGUCCCUAGUGUGGACAGUGUGUUACUUGUCAAUUUUUUUGAUACCCCUUCAAAAUUUAUUUCUUCAUGUUUUAUGCCUUAAGUAGCAAGAAUUACACUGUAAACAAUCUGAUUAAUGAAUUAUAAUGUAAAGUAGUGAUUUGGUCCAGUUGAAAAAGGUAAUAAAAUUAGCAUUUCGGAAGCUGUCAAAAGAUUUCAAGACCCCCUUUACAUACAAUUGUCAAUAUUUUGAGUUAGAGCUGAUGAAGUUUUCUAUAAUUUUGAUAAAAUUUGUCCCAAAAGUAGUACAACACACUGUAAAAAUAUUAUUGUGAAAGCGCAGGUGGGAUUUUUUUUUAUUUCCAUUUAUUGUCUAAAAGAAAUGCACUACGAAAUAACUGUGUACUCGGACCACUAGACUGUAAAUACCAGAGACAGCUGAAUGCACAAGGCACAAAGCUGAGGUCCAAGUAAAUCAGACAGGCCUUGUCACAAGAAAUGUACAGAACUUGCAUGGGUUUUUGCUUAAGGACAUAUGACAAAAAAUUGAGAGAUGUCAAUGAAAAUUUCUUUGAAUUUUGAUAAUGGCCAAUUCAAAGGUACACUUUUGGAAUUUGCAAGAACAAAAAUACCUUCAUGUUUACUUUUGAAUUAUAGUUGACAGUUUUCAGUUUAAGGGGAACCUCUGAAAAUAAGUCAAAAGGAGCGGUUUGGUUUUUUGAAUUUGAUUAUUUUUUUUAAAGUAAAACAGAUGAAUUAUUGCUCUUUAAUUUCAACAUUUGCAUUUUACUAUUAGAAUUAUUUACAAGUGUAGCAUAUCGGUGAUAUCAGAUUAUGUUAUUGUGUUUGGUUAAGCUACAUAUUCCUUUUUACUUAGACUUUCUGUUGCCUUUACUAAUUAAUAAAAUACUGAAUAACAAUUUGAGUUUGGCUCAUUUCAGUGUCUGGUAUUUGCUGACAUUUUUUUGCAUGUAAGAUUUCACCAUAUUAUUUAUAAUUUCUUGGCCAAAGGGAGAUAACUGUUUGAAUCUUCGCAUUAAAUAAUCUGCGAAGAAUAUUAUGUAAAAUGUAAAUAGUUGAAAAUUAAUUUUAUUGUUCAAUAAAAUCAAAUAAGUUAUUGACAUUCAUUAUUAAUAAAUUUCUAUCAAAAAUAAGGCUCACACAACUUUUUAUAUUACUUAUAUUAACAAUAACAAUGUACACACAUGUUUAUUGACGUAUUAAUACACAACGUCAGGGUGGGUGUGUCGUCAUAAAAUUUGUAAACAUUGAAAAUAAAACUAAAACUUUUAACUAAUCAGAAGACAGUAAAUACAUCAAAUAUAUUUAUAAACCUAUACAUUUAUUAUUUUCUUCAAUUGUCCAAGUACAUUCAAUAUUGAUAAUAAUUUUUUGUUGAUACAAGUUUAUUUGUGUGCUAUUUUAUUCAAUUGUACAUAUUUGAAAUAUAACAUUACAC